rnacentral:tRNA from 1 species
GGAGGGGUGGCCGAGUGGCUUAAGGCGGCGCCCUGCUAAGGCGCUGGGCCGAAAGGCCCUCGUGGGUUCGAAUCCCACCCCCUCCG